UACGAAGGGGGCUAGCGCUGUUCGGAUUUACUGGCGUAAAGCGCACGUAGGCGGAUUGUUAAGUCAGGGGUGAAAUCCUGGAGCUCAACUCCAGAACUGCCUUUGAUACUGGCGAUCUCGAGUCCGGGAGAGGUGAGUGGAACUGCGAGUGUAGAGGUGAAAUUCGUAGAUAUUCGCAAGAACACCAGUGGCGAAGGCGGCUCACUGGCCCGGUACUGACGCUGAGGUGCGAAAGCGUGGGGAGCAAACAGG
rnacentral:rRNA from 1 species